GUGCGGUGGCGGCGGCGGCGGCCCCGCGGAUUGUCGGCUGGCGGUGCGGAUGGACGGACGGGCCACAAAGCAUGUCGCCCUUCGCCUGCUGAACUCAGAGCGCUCGAGGAUGUCGGCGCUGAGGAAGGUCUGUAUGAGCUGUUGGCUGUUGUGCAGGCCGGCUGGGGCCACGUGUGGACAGCCAGGAAGACCUGACCUUCCUCUGGGAUAUGUUUGGUGAGAAAAGCCUGCAUUCACCGGUAAAGGUAAAACCAUGCUGAUGUCAGAUUCUCUUGGUGGGAAAACAUAUGGAAAAAUAUUUUGUCAUCUCAUGCUUUGUUCUGUCCUCCCCCUAUUCUCUAUGCAGAAGUUACUCGUCGAGCACCAUUUUCCUUUAGGUUAGUGAUUUCUGAAUUGUAUUCAUGAAACAUUUCCUUAAUGUGUGACCAAAAAGCUAUUCCCUUUUUCAUUUUCACUUUGAUUUCGCUACUCUAGAUUUUUUGUUUAUUAUGUGUGAAUCUGGAUCUCAAAAGAAAUUCUCUCAACAUUUCUUCUUUGUCAUAUUUGCUCUAGAUUAUUUUUUUCAUAUUUGCCGUUUACUCAAUUUAAGAAGUUUCCGUUUAUUCUGUGUAAAAUGACUUUUUAAAUGACUAGCCAUUGGACUUUGUCAAGUGCUUUUUAUUUAUUUAUUGUAAUGAUCAUAUGAUUUGUUUCCUGUCAGUCUCAACAUAGGAAAGUUCAUUGGUUUUUGACAUUUUUUUUUUUUUUUUACUGAUUUUUGACUGUUCAACUGGCUAUCAUUGGACUAUUAUUUGAGAUAACCUAAUUUGUUCAUGAUUUGUUCUCCUUUACAUAUAAUCUGCUGGAGUUAGUUGACUCCUAGUUUAUUUAGAACUUUAAUGUCUCCUUUUAUGAGACUUCAGCCCAUAAUUUUGCUUUCUUAUCUCUCUCAUCAGAUCUUCACAAUAUCCUGGGUAGCCUUAUGUUGUGAGGUGGAAGUCUCUACUCUUCUGUGGGUAAGUUUAUGAAAGACUGAAGUUCGUUUGUCCUUUAGCAGAACUGACUUGUUGGGUUCCUUGGGCCUGGAUGUUUUCUUUUUGAUAAGGAUAUUGGUAACUAUUUUAAAGAUGACAAGAACGUUUAGGCUUUCUAUUUCUUCUUGAUUAGUUUUAAUGAUUCAUAUUUUUCUAAGAUUUGGUCCAUUUCAACUACAUUGUCAAAUUUCUGAAAAGGUUGCUUAUAAUAUUUCACAUGUGCAGUUUCUAUGCUAAUUGUUUUUCUUCUUGGUCCUGAUAUUGGUACUUAUUGCCCUUUCUUCUCUUUCCUCAAUAUUGCCAGAGUUUUGGCAUUAGUCUUUUUAGAUAUAAACCUUUGGCCUUAUUAAUUUUCCUCAUUGUAUAUUAGUUUUUAUUUCAUUGACUUUUUUAAAAAAAUUCUUU
rnacentral:lncRNA from 1 species